CCUACGGGCGGCAGCAGUGAGGAAUAUUGGUCAAUGGGAGAGAUCCUGAACCAGCCAAGCCGCGUGAGGGAAGACGGCCCUAUGGGUUGUAAACCUCUUUUGUCGGAGAACAAAACCCGGGACGUGUCCCGGACUGCGUGUAUCCGAAGAAAAAGCAUCGGCUAACUCCGUGCCAGCAGCCGCGGUAAUACGGAGGAUGCGAGCGUUAUCCGGAUUUAUUGGGUUUAAAGGGUGCGUAGGCGGUCCGUUAAGUCAGCGGUAAAAUUGCGGGGCUCAACCCCGUCGAGCCGUUGAAACUGGCAGACUUGAGUUGGCGAGAAGUACGCGGAAUACGCGGUGUAGCGGUGAAAUGCAUAGAUAUCACGAGGAACCCCGAUUGCGAAGGCAGCCUGCCGGGGUGCGACUGACGCUGAGGCUCGAAGGUGCGGGUAUCAAACAGGAUUAGAUACCCCAGUAGUC
rnacentral:rRNA from 1 species